rnacentral:tRNA from 1 species
GCGUCGUUAGCUCAGUGGAAGUAGCAACGGACUCUAAACCCGUGGUCGUGGGUUCGAUCCCCACACGACGCACCA